rnacentral:rRNA from 1 species
AACGAACGCUGGCGGCAUGCCUAACACAUGCAAGUCGAACGAGACCUUCGGGUCUAGUGGCGCACGGGUGCGUAACACGUGGGAAUCUGCCCUUUGCUUCGGAAUAACAGUUAGAAAUGACUGCUAAUACCGGAUGAUGUCGAAAGACCAAAGAUUUAUCGGCAAAGGAUGAGCCCGCGUAGGAUUAGGUAGUUGGUGGGGUAAAGGCCUACCAAGCCGACGAUCCUUAGCUGGUCUGAGAGGAUGAUCAGCCACACUGGGACUGAGACACGGCCCAGACUCCUACGGGAGGCAGCAGUGGGGAAUAUUGGACAAUGGGCGAAAGCCUGAUCCAGCAAUGCCGCGUGAGUGAUGAAGGCCUUAGGGUUGUAAAGCUCUCUUACCAGGGAUGAUAAUGACAGUACCUGGAGAAUAAGCUCCGGCUAACUCCGUG